UACGUAGGGUGCAAGCGUUAAUCGGAAUUACUGGGCGUAAAGCGUGCGCAGGCGGUUGUGCAAGACAGAUGUGAAAUCCCCGGGCUUAACCUGGGAAUUGCAUUUGUGACUGCACGGCUAGAGUGUGUCAGAGGGGGGUAGAAUUCCACGUGUAGCAGUGAAAUGCGUAGAUAUGUGGAGGAACACCAAUGGCGAAGGCAGCCUUCUGGGCCAACACUGACGCUCAUGCACGAAAGCGUGGGGAGCAAACAGG
rnacentral:rRNA from 1 species